UACGUAGGGGGCGAGCGUUGUCCGGAUUUACUGGGCGUAAAGCGCGUGUAGGCGGCCGGAUAAGUCGGGUGUGAAAGCCCGGGGCUCAACCCCGGGAUGCCGCCCGAGACUGCUCGGCUUGAGGACGGAAGAGGGGCGUGGAAUUCCUGGUGUAGCGGUGAAAUGCGUAGAGAUCAGGAGGAACACCCGUGGCGAAGGCGGCGCCCUGGUCCGUUACUGACGCUGAGACGCGAAAGCGUGGGGAGCGAACAGG
rnacentral:rRNA from 1 species